GACGAACGCUGGCGGCGUGCCUAAUACAUGCAAGUUGAGCGCUGAAGGUUGGUACUUGUACCGACUGGAUGAGCAGCGAACGGGUGAGUAACGCGUGGGGAAUCUGCCUUUGAGCGGGGGACAACAUUUGGAAACGAAUGCUAAUACCGCAUAAAAACUUUAAACACAAGUUUUAAGUUUGAAAGAUGCAAUUGCAUCACCCAAAGAUGAUCCCGCGUUGUAUUAGCUAGUUGGUGAGGUAAAGGCUCACCAAGGCGAUGAUACAUAGCCGACCUGAGAGGGUGGUCGGCCACAUUGGGACUGAGACACGGCCCAAACUCCUACGGGAGGCAGCAGUAGGGAAUCUUCGGCAAUGGACGAAAGUCUGACCGGGCAACGCCGCGUGAGUGAAGAAGGUUUUCGGAUCGUAAAACUCUGUUGGUAGAGAAGAACGUUGGUGAGAGUGGAAAGCUCAUCAAGUGACGGUAACUACCCAGAAAGGGACGGCUAACUACGUG
rnacentral:rRNA from 1 species